UACGUGGGGUGCGAGCGUUGUCCGGAAUUAUUGGGCGUAAAGAGCUUGUAGGCGGUUUGUCGCGUCUGCCGUGAAAAUCCGGGGCUCAACCCCGGACUUGCGGUGGGUACGGGCAGACUGGAGUUCGGCAGGGGAGACUGGAAUUCCUGGUGUAGCGGUGAAAUGCGCAGAUAUCAGGAGGAACACCGGUGGCGAAGGCGGGUCUCUGGGCCGAUACUGACGCUGAGGAGCGAAAGCGUGGGGAGCGAACAGG
rnacentral:rRNA from 1 species